AGUCGAACGGUAGCACAGGGGAGCUUGCUCCUUGGGUGACGAGUGGCGGACGGGUGAGUAAUGUCUGGGGAUCUGCCCGAUGGAGGGGGAUAACUACUGGAAACGGUAGCUAAUACCGCAUAACCUCGAAAGAGCAAAGUGGGGGACCUUCGGGCCUCACACCAUCGGAUGAACCCAGAUGGGAUUAGCUAGUAGGUGGGGUAACGGCUCACCUAGGCGACGAUCCCUAGCUGGUCUGAGAGGAUGACCAGCCACACUGGAACUGAGACACGGUCCAGACUCCUACGGGAGGCAGCAGUGGGGAAUAUUGCACAAUGGGCGCAAGCCUGAUGCAGCCAUGCCGCGUGUAUGAAGAAGGCCUUCGGGUUGUAAAGUACUUUCAGCGGGGAGGAAGGGAUGAAGGUUAAUAACCUUCGUCAUUGACGUUACCCGCAGAAGAAGCACCGGCUAACUCCGUGCCAGCAGCCGCGGUAAUACGGAGGGUGCAAGCGUUAAUCGGAAUUACUGGCGUAAAGCGCACGCAGGCGGUUUGUUAAGUCAGAUGUGAAAUCCCCGGGCUCAACCUGGGAACUGCAUUUGAAACUGGCAAGCUUGAGUCUCGUAGAGGGGGGUAGAAUUCCAGGUGUAGCGGUGAAAUGCGUAGAGAUCUGGAGGAAUACCGGUGGCGAAGCGGCCCCCUGGACGAAGACUGACGCUCAGGUGCGAAA
rnacentral:rRNA from 1 species